UACGUAGGGGGCAAGCGUUGUCCGGAUUUAUUGGGCGUAAAGAGCGUGUAGGCGGCCAUACAGGUCAGCUGUGAAAACUCGAGGCUCAACCUCGAGACGUCGGUUGAAACCAUCUGGCUAGAGUCCGGAAGAGGAGAGUGGAAUUCCCGGUGUAGCGGGUGAAAUGCGCAGAUAUCGGGAAGAACACCCGUGGCGAAGGCGG
rnacentral:rRNA from 1 species